GGCGAUGUAGUUUAAUUGAAAAUUUCUAUUUUACACGUAGGAGAUGGGGUUUCUCUAUUGCCA
rnacentral:tRNA from 2 species